GGGCGGCGUCCAUUUCGCUAGCAAGCUUCGUUGCGUUCGCACGCCUUUUUCUGGCUCCCGUUGUCUCGCGUUCCGUCGUUGCUCUGGUGCCCUGGACUGCUGUGAAUGUGUUUUUAUGCCCUACUAGUGUUGCCUGGGGUGCUUUUAUGUGUGCAUCCUGGAAGAUAGGUCCAGAAGCCUUGCGAUUUCUUAGAUUAAAGCUAAGUGUACUCGUGACCCUACCAGCACUUUUCAAGAUACUUUCGACGUAUUCAUUGCGGUGAACAACGCGGUUGGGACAGUACACUCACGACGUGGGAAGGUCACAGAAAUGUUGAAAGACAUCAGAUUGGGCAUACGCUUCACCCGUGCAACUUCGUCAUGUGCUCCACGGCAGCACAAGCCUUUACGGCUGUGCCACUAUGUGUGGAAACGUCGUAGCGGAUGAAUGUGAAUUAUGGAUCUCCAAGUGGCGUCGCCCGC